rnacentral:rRNA from 2 species
CGGCGAGUGAAGCGGCAAUAGCUCAAAUUUGAAAUCUGGAGCCUUUGGCUUCCGAGUUGUAAUUUGCAGAGGGAGCCUCGGAGGGCGAGACGGUCCAAGUGCCUUGGAACAGGAUACCGCAGAGGGUGAGAGUCCCGUAUCCGGCCGAUCUUGCGCUCCGUGUGAGGCCCCUUCGACGAGUCGAGUUGUUUGGGAAUGCAGCUCCAAGCGGGUGGUAAAUUCCAUCUAAAGCUAAAUACUGGCCAGAGACCGAUAGCGAACAAGUAGAGUGAUCGAAAGAUGAAAAGCACUUUGAAAAGAGAGUCAAACAGUACGUGAAAUUGUUGAAAGGGAAGCGCAUGGGGGCAGACUUGGACGCGGGGUUCAGCGUUUCUAUUGGAGCGUGUACUUCCCCGCGUGCAGGCCAGCAUCGGUUCCGGGGGCCGGACAAAGACGGUGGGAAUGUGGCUCCCCUCGGGGAGUGUUAUAGCCCGGCGUGCAAUGCGGCC